rnacentral:rRNA from 1 species
CCUACGGGGGGCAGCAGUGGGGAAUAUUGGACAAUGGGGGCAACCCUGAUCCAGCCAUGCCGCGUGUGUGAAGAAGGCCCUCGGGUUGUAAAGCACUUUCAGUGAGGAAGAACGCCUGGUGGUUAAUACCCAUCAGGAAAGACAUCACUCACAGAAGAAGCACCGGCUAACUCCGUGCCAGCAGCCGCGGUAAUACGGAGGGUGCGAGCGUUAAUCGGAAUUACUGGGCGUAAAGCGCGCGUAGGUGGCUUGAUAAGCCGGAUGUGAAAGCCCCGGGCUCAACCUGGGAACGGCAUCCGGAACUGUCAAGCUAGAGUGCAGGAGAGGAAGGUAGAAUUCCCGGUGUAGCGGUGAAAUGCGUAGAGAUCGGGAGGAAUACCAGUGGCGAAGGCGGCCUUCUGGACUGACACUGACACUGAGGUGCGAAAGCGUGGGUAGCAAACAGGAUUAGAUACCCUGGUAGUC